CAACCUCUGGCAAAAGUUGUGAAUGUUG
rnacentral:ncRNA from 1 species